rnacentral:rRNA from 1 species
AACUUUCAGCAACGGAUCUCUUGGCUCUCGCAUCGAUGAAGAACGCAGCGAAAUGCGAUAAGUAAUGUGAAUUGCAGAAUUCAGUGAAUCAUCGAAUCUUUGAACGCACCUUGCGCUCCUUGGUAUUCCGAGGAGCAUGCCUGUUUGAGUAUCAUG